UAAAUCCGAAGUGCCCUCCUGGUUAUUGCCCAUAGGAAUGGUUUUUGCAUUGAUCCUGGUUGUUGCAAUCGGAAUCGCUUCUUUGUCCUACUUCAAAACAAAAGGACAACAAGAGAGAAUAGCAAAUGCUGAGCAACAGAUUUUUGAUGAGAAGAAGAGAAUAGCACAGCUUGAGAAAGAGAAUAAAGAGCUGCAUGAAAACAAAA